GACGAACGCUGGCGGCGUGCUUAACACAUGCAAGUCGAACGGAAAGGCCCUGCUUGCAGGGUCCUCGAGUGGCGAACGGGUGAGUAACACGUGGGUGAUCUGCCCUGCACUUCGGGAUAAGCCUGGGAAACUGGGUCUAAUACCGGAUAGGAGCCAUUUUUAGGGUGAUGGUUGGAAAGUUUUUUCGGUGUAGGAUGAGCUCGCGGCCUAUCAGCUUGUUGGUGGGGUAAUGGCCUACCAAGGCGGCGACGGGUAGCCGGCCUGAGAGGGUGGACGGCCACAUUGGGACUGAGAUACGGCCCAGACUCCUACGGGAGGCAGCAGUGGGGAAUAUUGCACAAUGGGCGCAAGCCUGAUGCAGCGACGCCGCGUGGGGGAUGACGGCCUUCGGGUUGGAAACUCCUUUCGCUAGGGACGAAGCUUUUUGUGACGGUACCUAGAGAAGAAGCACCGGCUAACUACGUG
rnacentral:rRNA from 1 species